CAUCAUGGCCAUGCCACCUUGAACGUGCCCGAUCUUGUCUGAUCUCAGAAGCUAAGCAGGGUCGGGCCUGGUUAGUACUGGAUGGGAGACCACCUAGGAAUAUUGGAUGCUGUAAGCA
ensembl:rRNA 5S_rRNA 5S ribosomal RNA